rnacentral:lncRNA from 1 species
GAUGAAAAGGGAUUUGAGAUACGUUUUUUAUUUUGGAAGGAUUUCAAUUGGAAAACAUAAUAGAAGUUUUAUAUGGGGGAACCUGAUUGAUGGCUUGUUUCACUUUAAUAUUUCUUCUUCUAAUAAUAAAAGUGCACUAGUUAGUCCUACUUAUAUUGAUGGCUUUAUUUAUUCUUCUUAUAUUGGUGUUUGUUUUUGUGUUGAUGAUUCUUAUAUUUGGCAUUG